GAUGAACGCUGGCGGCGUGCCUAAUACAUGCAAGUCGAGCGAACGGACGAGAAGCUUGCUUCUCUGAUGUUAGCGGCGGACGGGUGAGUAACACGUGGAUAACCUACCUAUAAGACUGGGAUAACUUCGGGAAACCGGAGCUAAUACCGGAUAAUAUUUUGAACCGCAUGGUUCAAAAGUGAAAGACGGUCUUGCUGUCACUUAUAGAUGGAUCCGCGCUGCAUUAGCUAGUUGGUAAGGUAACGGCUUACCAAGGCAACGAUGCAUAGCCGACCUGAGAGGGUGAUCGGCCACACUGGAACUGAGACACGGUCCAGACUCCUACGGGAGGCAGCAGUAGGGAAUCUUCCGCAAUGGGCGAAAGCCUGACGGAGCAACGCCGCGUGAGUGAUGAAGGUCUUCGGAUCGUAAAACUCUGUUAUUAGGGAAGAACAUAUGUGUAAGUAACUGUGCACAUCUUGACGGUACCUAAUCAGAAAGCCACGGCUAACUACGUGCCAGCAGCCGCGGUAAUACGUAGGUGGGCAGCGUUAUCCGAAAUUAUUGGGCGUAAAGCGCGCGUAGGCGGUUUUUUAAGUCUGAUGUGAAAGCCCACGGCUCAACCGUGGAGGGUCAUUGGAAACUGGAAAACUUGAGUGCAGAAGAGGAAAGUGGAAUUCCAUGUGUAGCGGUGAAAUGCGCAGAGAUAUGGAGGAACACCAGUGGCGAAGGCGACUUUCUGGUCUGUAACUGACGCUGAUGUGCGAAAGCGUGGGGAUCAAACAGGAUUAGAUACCCUGGUAGUCCACGCCGUAAACGAUGAGUGCUAAGUGUUAGGGGGUUUCCGCCCCUUAGUGCUGCAGCUAACGCAUUAAGCACUCCGCCUGGGGAGUACGACCGCAAGGUUGAAACUCAAAGGAAUUGACGGGGACCCGCACAAGCGGUGGAGCAUGUGGUUUAAUUCGAAGCAACGCGAAGAACCUUACCAAAUCUUGACAUCCUUUGACAACUCUAGAGAUAGAGCUUUCCCCUUCGGGGGACAAAGUGACAGGUGGUGCAUGGUUGUCGUCAGUUCGUGUUGUGAGAUGUUGGGUUAAGUCCCGCAACGAGCGCAACCCUCAAGCUUAGUUGCCAUCAUUAAGUUGGGCACUCUAAGUUGACUGCCGGUGACAAACCGGAGGAAGGUGGGGAUGACGUCAAAUCAUCAUGCCCCUUAUGAUUUGGGCUACACACGUGCUACAAUGGACAAUACAAAGGGCAGCGAAACCGUGAGGUCAAGCAAAUCCCAUAAAGUUGUUCUCAGUUCGGAUUGUAGUCUGCAACUCGACUACAUGAAGCUGGAAUCGCUAGUAAUCGUAGAUCAGCAUGCUACGGUGAAUACGUUCCCGGGUCU
rnacentral:rRNA from 1 species